GAUGAACGCUAGCGGCAGGCCUAAUACAUGCAAGUCGAACGAGAUUAAGAGGCUUGCUUCUUAUGAAAGUGGCGCACGGGUGCGUAACGCGUAUGCAACCUACCUUAAUCAGGGGGAUAGCCCGAAGAAAUUCGGAUUAAGACCGCAUAAAAACACAGGAUAGCAUUAUCCAAUGUUCAAAUAUUUAUAGGAUUAAGAUGGGCAUGCGUGUCAUUAGCUAGUUGGCGGGGUAACGGCCCACCAAGGCGACGAUGACUAGGGGAUCUGAGAGGAUGACCCCCCACACUGGUACUGAGACACGGACCAGACUCCUACGGGAGGCAGCAGUAAGGAAUAUUGGUCAAUGGAGGGAACUCUGAACCAGCCAUGCCGCGUGCAGGAAGACAGCCCUCUGGGUCGUAAACUGCUUUUAGUCGGGAAGAAACCUUUCUACGUGUAGGAAGCUGAAUGUACCGAAGGAAUAAGGAUCGGCUAACUCCGUG
rnacentral:rRNA from 1 species